GUAUGACAGUUUGCGAUAAAGCAACAUUUCCCUCAAGGUCUUGGUUCUCGGUAACAGUGUACGUUCUUUUAGUAAGCAGAAGUGGCGUUUUCCCUCUGCAGAAAGCAAUAUUGAAUCUUUGGUGUUCAUUAUAAUUGAAUUCUGUUAUAGAUAACGUUACUUAAACAUACGACUUACCUUUGCGGGUGGAUUUUCAUUCAGCUGUCUCGACCCAAAACACAGGGUUAUUGUUGGGACUUCACCAUGAUACUGUGACUGAUUCUCUUUCUUAACGAACACAAAUAUGGCAACUGCCAAAAAAGCUUCCUCUAAGGCGGGAGGCAUUCGUUUUGCUGAGGCAAAUUCUGCUGCUGCUGCCGCCGCUCACUCCCACGUGCACUUUGAUGAGAAGCUGCACGACUCUGUUGUCAUGGUGAUUCCUGAGUCUGAUGGGAACUUCUUGGUUAAGGUGGGCUUCCUGAAGACUCAACACAGGUAUGAAAUUGUCUUCAUGCUGCCAGAGGUUCCAGGGCUUGGGAAAGAUGUGUGUCCAGCUCCGGUGCCCAACCCAUACCUUCAGAUUAAAGAUCUUACUGCAGCUCCUAGUGGAGGUUUAAAGGUGACUUGCGAGUAUGUGGCUCACAAGGAGGGGGUGCUGUGUGAGGAAAUGCUAAUACUCAGUGAGAGCAAAGAGGACGUGUGCCUGAAGGUGAAAGUUCAUGCCCGUGUUAUGGAUCGACACCAUGGGACACCGAUGUUAUUAGAAGGGGUACGAUGUGUUGGAGCUGAGCUUGAGUACGACUCAGAGCAAAGUGAUUGGCAAGGAUUUGACUAAUAGGAUUUUACCUCAGAUAUUGUCAUUGGUACAGUGUAAUUGUUGGAAUAGACACACACACACACACACACACACACACACACAAAGAUCAGCCAUUACAUUAAAACUACUGACCGGUGAAGUGAACAACAUUGAUUUUCUUGCUACAGUGGCACCUGUCAAGGGGUGGGGUAUAUUAGGCAGCAAGUAAACAGCCAGUUCUCGAAGUUGAUGUGUUGGAAGCAGGAAAAAUGGGCAAGCAUAAGAAUCUGAGCAACAUUGACAAGGCCAUUGCAUUUGAUAAGGAAUAGUGUGUCGCUAGAUCAGUGGUUUUCAAAGUGGGGGCCGCCAGGGGGCGCCCGGGGGGCCUCAACAAUUUGGUGUGAAAAAUAAAUAAAUACAUGAUUUUCUCUUUCUCACUCUCAGACAACCACACAUACACACACACACACAAUCAAGUCCUAAUCUAAUGUAAUGUAAAGAUGUAAGAUGUAAUUAUUAAUAAUUAAAAAAAGGCGGAUAUAUUCAGAAGUCUGUAUUUUUAAUGUGCUUUAAAGACAUCUUGCAAAAGUGGGGCCUCGGUCAAAUGUUAAUGCAAUUUGGGGGGCCUUGCCCUGGAAAAGUUUGGGAACCCCUGGGCUAGAUGACUGGGUAUCUCCAUGACAAACAGCAGGUCUUGUGGGGUGUUCCAGUAUGCGGUGGUUAGUACCUACGAAAUGUCGUCCAAGGAAGGACAACCGGUGGACUAGCAACAGGGUCAUGGGCACCCAAAGCUCAUUGAUGCAUGUGGCGUAUAAAGGCUAGCCCAUCUGGUCCGAUCCCACAGAAGAGUUACCGUAGCUUAAAUUGCUGAAAAUGUUAAUGCUGGCUAUGAUAGAAAGAUGUCUGAAAGCACAGUGCAUCACAGCUUGCUGUGUAUGGGGCUGAAUGCCUAUGAUGACCCCAGUCCACCGCCGAAAGUGUCUACAAUGGGCACAUGAGCAUCUGAUCUAGACAAUGGAGCAAUGGAAGAAAGUGGCCUUGACUGAUGAAUAACAUUUUCUUUUACAUCAUGUGGACGGCUGAUGGCAGAUGGUUAUGUUAUGGCCGAUCGGGCUCCGUGUGUGUGUUUAAUAUAAUAAUAUAUAUAUAUUACACACACACAUACAUACACAUAUACACGCACAUAAAUACAAUGUGGUUUUGCUUGCAUGCUUGUCACUGUGCUAUCAGGCUGCAUUUUACUAUUAUUGUUUGCUUGUUUGUUUGUACUGUACUUGUAUUUUUCAGUGUGACUGACUGGGACAUCCUACACCAAUCCACUUCCUCUACAGUUUACAGUUCCAGAAGGGGGCAAUAUUGACUACAGAUUUAAGUUAUCACAGGCAUUUGGCUGAACAACCAUUAUAGACAACCAUUACAUAAAUGUGGCACAGACUGGUCCCAUUAAAACAGUAAACAUAUAUUUUACUUUUAUUUUCCAAAACAAUAAAUAGUCAGUAUGGUCAUUUCAAUGUAAAGCUGCUUGAAAAUAACUUUCCAAAUUGUUUCUAUUCAGCAGAAAAGGAUUAUAUAAACUAUGGGCAGUAUUCUCUCUAGUUCUUCACUUGGUACACAUCAAGGGCUGAUUCAUUACAUAAAAUGUAGUACUACCUUUUAUAUGUAAAGUUAAUGAUUUAUAUUAAUUUAAGUAAGCCUAAGUGCCUAAGUCAUUUGUUCUCUCAUUUCUACAAUUUUCUAUAAGGCCUGUUUUGUCUCCAAUUAAUGCAAAAUGUCUGAGGCCUUACUUAUGCAUAGUAAUGUGACUUUUUUUUCUAAAAUCAGUAUGUCUGCUUUAAUGGUUAUCAGAGGUUCUUGAAUGUGAAUGCAUGUCAUUUGUGCAGUGUGACUCUUCAGUGAGAUAUGCUAGAGUGUAUGUGAUGUUGGGUGUUUGUGUCUGUAAAUGUUAUUGGAAUGUGGUGAUACCUGUAAAUUUCACUUGCUCUGCUAAAACAUAUGGUCUGGUGUAAAGACAAAAACCUGUGUUCACUGAAAUUUGUCUACUGUUACUGUGUUGUGUGUUUUUUUU